UACGAAGGGGGCUAGCGUUGUUCGGAAGGACUGGGCGUAAAGGGCGCGUAGGUGGCCUAUCAAGUUUUAUGUUAAAGACCUGGGCUUAACCUGGGGGGUGCAUAGGAGACUGAUGGGCUAGAGUGCGAGAGAGGAAAGAGGAAUUGCGCAUGGAGAGGUGAAAUUCGUAGAUAUUCGGAAGAACACCAGUGGCGAAGGCGACUUACUGGACACAUAUUGACGCUGAGGUGCGAAAGCGUGGGGAGCAAACAGG
rnacentral:rRNA from 1 species